rnacentral:lncRNA from 1 species
GAGCACUUGCGUCCUGGUCAGUUCCCUCCUUUCCAUUCGCCCUUCCAGGCUUGCUGUGCUAUCUUCUCUCUGGGACCUGUUACAAGGUGUCUUAUGUGCAAACCAGAAAAGAGAUGGCAAUUCUGAUCCUGGACCCAGUUUCCAUGAAAGAGAAACAAAAUGGAGCAGAUCCUGUCCCCAGCAAAGAUGGUAACCAGAUACAAUGGGACAAACAUUGUCUGCCCCUCACUGCAGAAUUCAGAGUAUGGACAGGAUUAUGAUGUGCCAGUGUCCAACAGGCAUGUGUUGGGGCUGGUGGAUCACAAUGCAACGAGAGUCCUUGACCAAUGUUGCUUCUCCACGAGGGUCUGAAGAUGGAGGGAUGACUUAAG